rnacentral:ncRNA from 1 species
CAAGAGAGAGCCCUAAAAGGGUCGCCGAAGAGGCAAGCGGUUAACCGGCCAACGGGCCGUGAAACUUUCAGGCAAAAGGACUGGAACGG